AUGCUUACAGUAUUGGGUUUUUUCCCCCUCACCUCUGUUACAGUGAUUCAUUCCAGCCUGGUAGAACAGAGAAGCAUCGAUGAUUCGCCUUGUGAUGGGCAUCUAGGCCGAGGGGACCCAAGGAAGCUCCAGUCUCUGAUUUUCAAAGUCCUCAGGGAUUUGGCACCAGCACCUACAAGGAAAUUUCCACAAACUUAUUUGCUGCUGAAGCUGAAAUAUGCUCUCCAUCCUGGGGGGGAGGGAAAUAACAAACCUUCCAGAAGGGGAAGGAGAAGUUUGAGGACAUGGAAGCUACAAAGACAAGAAGAAGGAGACAGAGAGGAGAGGAAGAGACUGCCCAAGAGCAGAAUCCCAGAGCUUGAAGUGAGAGACAGAACUGUGUGUGGGGGUGACACUGGCCAAGCUGACAGUUCAUGGGGGUGGAUGGAUGGAACAUCAACCUCCUGGAAGAAGUCAAGUUCUGGCUCUUGGGCACCACCUGGCUUCCCACCCCUGCUCUGAGUGAACUCUGCAUCUUUGGACUCACAAGUUUAUGUGAUAGGAGAUUGUGAUUCCCUUUAUCUCCUUCAACAAGGGCCCCAUGUCCUUCCCUGAGCUAGUGGCCAUGGCUCAACUGCCCCACCUUCCUGAAUCUCACUCGUGGAGGUAUCUCCAAGGGGCUAGAGAAGUCAGGAUUCCUUUCCUAUUGGAAUUGUCCCAUUUUUGUGUCCCCACCCUUCCAGUCCUCAUAACACUGGCUAACAAAUGUUUACACCCCUGUCCCAUCCCUGGAGAGUCCAUCCUUCUUGGACCUUCCUGCUUGCCUUUCCAUGGGAAUAGGAGGCAGGAUGUCUCUGAAGGUUCCCUAGAUACUGGCUGAUUAGCUAGCCAUAGUCCUAUCCUCCACCAGCUGCUCCCUAUAGAUUUAUUUUUAAUAAUAGAUUUCUUCAGAUUCAUACAAGGACUGUAUCAUCCUGCAUUCAUUGUAUCUGGUCCUAUUGGCCAGAACUGUCUUGGUCUCAUUGACAUUGGGGGCUUGGGGAUGUGGUCUGAAUAUUUCUAAGCCACUUAAGCUAUAUUACCCAUCCUUCCCCAAAUUCAUCCAUUAGACUGGCCACAGCAUCACCUGACCAGGUCUAGAGUCACCAGUUAUUAUGUACCUCUCUUCCCCUGAAAAAAAGCCAAACAAAACACUUUUUUGUAAGAUUUCUUUAAUAAAAUGUUGAAACAUCAGCUGAACA
rnacentral:lncRNA from 1 species